rnacentral:rRNA from 1 species
UUGACAUACACCGGAAAGCAUUAGAGAUAGUGCCCCCCUUGUGGUCGGUGUACAGGUGGUGCAUGGCUGUCGUCAGCUCGUGUCGUGAGAUGUUGGGUUAAGUCCCGCAACGAGCGCAACCCUUGUUCUGUGUUGCCAGCAUGCCUUUCGGGGUGAUGGGGACUCACAGGAGACUGCCGGGGUCAACUCGGAGGAAGGUGGGGACGACGUCAAGUCAUCAUGCCCCUUAUGUCUUGGGCUGCACACGUGCUACAAUGGCCGGUACAAUGAGCUGCGAUGCCGCGAGGCGGAGCGAAUCUCAAAAAGCCGGUCUCAGUUCGGAUUGGGGUCUGCAACUCGACCCCAUGAAGUCGGAGUUGCUAGUAAUCGCAGAUCAGCAUUGCUGCGGUGAAUACGUUCCCGGGCCUUGUACACACCG